rnacentral:rRNA from 1 species
UACGAAGGGGCUAGCGUUGUUCGGAAUCACUGGGCGUAAAGCGCACGUAGGCGGUCUGUCGCGUCGGCUGUGAAACCCGAGGCUCAACCUCGGCCUGCAGUCGAUACGGCAGACUAGAGUGCUGUAGGGAGACUGGAAUUCCUGGUGUGAGCGGUGAAUGCGCAGAUAUCAGGAGGAACACCGGUGGCGAAGGCGGUCUCUGGCAGUAACUGACGCUGAGAGCGAAGCGUGGAGCAACG